CUGGUCGUACCUCAGUUAGGCCAGAGCGACCGCUUUGGGAGCGGGCUGCCGCAGGUUCGAAUCCUGCCGACCAGA
rnacentral:tRNA from 1 species